UUAGUUGAAACCAAAAAGAGGUAUGUCACUGUUAAUGAUACCAAUGAAUUUAAUUCCAACUAAA
rnacentral:tRNA from 1 species